GAUCAUGGCUCAGGAUGAACGCUAGCGGCAGGCUUAACACAUGCAAGUCGAGGGGCAGCGGGGUGUAGCAAUACACUGCCGGCGACUGGCGCACGGGUGCGUAACGCGUAUGCAACCUACCCAUAACAGGGGCAUAACACUGAGAAGUUGGUACUAAUUCCCCAUAACAUUCGAAGAGGCAUCUCUUUGGGUUGAAAACUCCGGUGAUUAUGGAUGGGCAUGCGUUGUAUUAG
rnacentral:rRNA from 1 species